UACAGUUACAGAUGAAAACAGAGCUUUAUUACCGAUUCAGAUUGGUCUUUUUAUUGGAGGUUUUCUUCUAGGAAUUAUGAUGACAGCAGCUGCAUGCUUUUUAGCAAGGAAAAAACGAAAACUACGGAAAAAUCAAGGAAAAGAUAAUAUCACAGAAAAAACACCCAGUCAUGAGCAGCAACACUAUGAUGAUGUUCGAAUGGAAAAUAUAUCAACAUAUCAAGAUCUCAUGACAUUCCAAACUACACAUGACUAUGAACAUAUUAAUACAACAUUCGUCCGUCACUAAGCAAAUACAUGGUUUUGUUAUCGACAAGAUUGUAAACAACAUAACAAUCAAAGGAGGAAAAACAGUCUAAGUAGUUACCAGAGUUGUCUGCAUAUUGAUAUCGGAAAAUAUCAACCGCGAGUAGUAAUGUUUGCAUACUCUUCAAAUACUUCUUAUCACAUUUAUUUAAGACGUUUCCCUUUAUACUUAGAUGUCCUGUAAAUUUCCGUCAUUUUCAGCUUUUCAUUUAAUUCUUUCCUAUCGUUAAAACCAUAAGUAAAUUUUCAAAUAGUCAUUACAAGGUUUCAAUUUUAUAUCAGAUAGACAGGAACAUCAAAGAGAUUACUAUUCUACAAUUAAAGUAAAGUGUUCUUCGCUGGAAUAUAGAGAUGUUAUUGUACAAAUUACUGCUUACAUGUGUAUGUAAAUCAUUCAAAUAUAUGUCUUCAUUUAACUAGACCUAGACUAUUUUAUUUAAUUCCUGUAACAUAAUAAUAUACAAUAAUAUUCGAUUUUUUUUUUAGAUACUAUUUCAGUGUAUCUGAAUGUUUGAUGUAGCACGUCUUCGGUUUGACUGACAAGGUUUUGUCUAUCAUCUCAAAGACAUAGUUGUGUCAGGUGUCCGUGACAUCAUAAACAAUUUACUCCUGCUUAGAAUUUUUUUUUUUUAAUAAAUUUUAAGGAAUGAC